AACGAACGCUGGCGGCAUGCCUAACACAUGCAAGUCGAACGAGACCUUCGGGUCUAGUGGCGCACGGGUGCGUAACGCGUGGGAACCUGCCCUUAGGUUCGGAAUAACUCCCCGAAAGGGGUGCUAAUACCGGAUAAUGUCUUCGGACCAAAGAUUUAUCGCCUUUGGAUGGGCCCGCGUUGGAUUAGCUAGUUGGUAGGGUAAAAGCCUACCAAGGCGACGAACCAUAGCUGGUCUGAGAGGAUGAUCAGCCACACUGGGACUGAGACACGGCCCAGACUCCUACGGGGGGCAGCAGUGGGGAAUAUUGGACAAUGGGCGAAAGCCUGAUCCAGCAAUGCCGCGUGAGUGAUGAAGGCCUUAGGGUUGUAAAGCUCUUUUACCCGGGAUGAUAAUGACAGUACCGGGAGAAUAAGCUCCGGCUAACUCCGUG
rnacentral:rRNA from 1 species